rnacentral:rRNA from 7 species
CCUAUCAGCUAGUUGGUGAGGUAAUGGCUCACCAAGGCGACGACGGGUAGCCGGCCUGAGAGGGUGACCGGCCACACUGGGACUGAGACACGGCCCAGACUCCUACGGGAGGCAGCAGUGGGGAAUAUUGCACAAUGGGCGAAAGCCUGAUGCAGCAACGCCGCGUGAGGGAUGACGGCCUUCGGGUUGUAAACCUCUUUUAGUAGGGAAGAAGCGAAAGUGACGGUACCUGCAGAAAAAGCACCGGCUAACUACGUGCCAGCAGCCGCGGUAAUACGUAGGGUGCAAGCGUUGUCCGGAAUUAUUGGGCGUAAAGAGCUCGUAGGCGGUUUGUCGCGUCUGCUGUGAAAUCUGGGGGCUCAACCCCCAGCCUGCAGUGGGUACGGGCAGACUA